rnacentral:lncRNA from 15 species
GGUCUAACAGGAAAAACUCCACCUGACGACGGCAGCACCUUCAGUCCUCCUCCUCUGUCAUUUGACAGCAGCACUUCGGGUCCUCCCCCUCUUCUGGUGGAAAGCAGCACCUUAAGUUCUCCUCCUCCAUUUGACAGCAACAACACUCCUCCUCCUCCUCUUCCUCCUCAUCCUCCUCUUGUUCCUCCUCNNNNNNNNNNNNNNNNNNNNCCUCCUCAUCAAGUGGACAGCAGCACUUUGGGUUCUCCCGCUCUUCCAGUCGACAAAAGUACUUUCACUCAUUCUCCUCCUCUAGAGGAGGGCAGCACUUUGAGUCCUCGCCCCACUUCAGAUGAACAUGGCACCUUCAGUCCUCCUGCUCUUCCUCCAGAGGACCAAAGCACAUUCAGUCAACCAGACAAUACAAACAAUCACACAACCUCUUAAGGUAAUGCAGAAGAUUCAGAUACUUUAUUUUUUAUCAAGAAAUUGCCACAGCAGGCGCUUUUUUUUUCAUUUCUGCAGAGGACUGGGCAUAUCAAGAAGACAAGAGACAACACAGACAUCAGUUCAAGACAUCUCAGUGGACAAAUGUCAUGUCAAAAGGGAUUUGCACAGUUCAUCCCUAUUGCAGUUUUGCAUUUAAACACCACAGUGUCAAACUGAUUACGUCGACAAGAGACACCCCACUCUUCACCUGUUUUGGGUACUGUAUGUUUGAUGACUGUCCUGUAUGUGUUGAGGUAAGCAAUGUUGACCUUCCAGGGAGACUGUGUCAGACACGAUCGUGAGGAGUUGAAAAGGAGGCCUGUCUGUGGGAAAGAAAGGGAAGUCAUUGCAAAAACAUUGACUUCAAAAAUCCCCCGUUCUCUGUACCUGGAAAACCUUAGUGAACUAGAUGAGACUGUGGAGGACUCUGGGUGCAGGGAUGAAGUACCAACAACGGGUGUCCUGAAAACAAUUUCUCGGGGUGCAAGGAAGAAACACCGCAGAGACAAGAAUGAAAUGAUUAGCCUCCAAAAGAUCAUUGAAGAUGAGCUGCAGGAAGGGGGGGGGGGUGUAAUCCAAAAGGUGAUCCAGUACCCAAAGGGAGUGAUGCUGUGGUCUCUGGAGACCAUUCAGCUUUUUGCUGGAAGGGCUAAGGAGGACAUAGUUUAUGUUGAUGCAACAGGGAGCAUCAUUAAAAAGGCAAAGGGUGAAAUAGUGGUCAGACAUCCUUUGAAAGGUGGGUCGCCAGUCCCAGUGGCCACAUUUGUCACAUGCGACCACACAACUUCAUCUGUGUCAUUUUUCCUGGGGUCAUUCAUGACAGACUGCAUCAGAUGCCAUGGAAGGCAUAUCAAGAAAAGGUGUGUGAUGUACAUAUGUGAUGGAUCUCUGGUCCUACCUAUACCUAUUCUACACCGAUGCCUCAGCCACAUCAUGAAAAAUGCAAAGGACCUUUGCCGGAAGCAUGCUUACAAACAGUACCACCUGGCUAUGCACGUCUUCGGGCUGAUGACACAAGCCACCACGCUCCAUGAGCUUGAUGACAUAGUCCGCAGCACUAAUGUGGUGUUCUCGAGCUCAUGCAGUGGACAGCAGGUUGAAAAACAUUUUCACAACCUGCAAAGACUUCUGACCCCCUGA